rnacentral:rRNA from 1 species
UAACACGUGGGUGAUCUACCUUGAGGUGAGGAAUACCGGCGAGAAAUCGCCGACAAGACCGCAUAGCUUCGGCAACGAAGAAAGCUUCGCAAGAGGCGCCCCAAGAUGAGCCUGCGCCCGAUUAGCUAGUUGGUAAGGUCAUGGCUUACCAAGGCGACGAUCGGUAGCUGGUCUGAGAGGAUGAUCAGCCACACUGGGAUUGAGAACGGCCCAG